UAUAUGUAAACUUAAUAAAUGUCAUUUACAAAUAGGGUAACAAAUGCUGUUUUAUUGGAGCGCAAAGCGCAGUUUUAUAUGAAGCUAGAACAUCCUAUACUUAGUGCAAAACAUACAGUUAAACAUUGCCGAUGAUUCCCUACAUGUUUUUGUUUGGUUUUCAUUUUAAGUAAAAUGAAAAUGUUAACUCUUUUAACAUUUUGUACACUGUUAAAUAUCGUACGGAGAAAAAAAAAAACACUGAAUGAAAGUCGCCAGAGGAACUCUAGAAACUCAAAAGACAGCAAAACAAGCGGAUCAGAUAGCAGUACAAAACAAAAUAACUUAAUGACAGGUCAGUAGCAUUAAGUAAACAUUGUUCUGUUGUAUUUCUUUCCACAGGAGAGCGACUAGAAAGGAAGGUUUCAUUCAAUAAGAUACUUUUUGAGUGAGUUUGUGUGCAUUUAUUUUCUCUGUAACUAGUCUCAUACAAAAAAAAAAAAAAAAAAAAAUUUUUUUUUCUUUAUCAUUCACUUUGCUUUUUUUUUUUUUUUUAAAUGCGUUUGUAGCGUGCUGAUGUGCGAACGAGCCAUUCAGUAUCGAUAGACAUUCAGUUUGAUGA